rnacentral:rRNA from 1 species
GAUGAACGCUAGCUACAGGCUUAACACAUGCAAGUCGAGGGGCAGCGGUAUCGAAAGCUUGCUUUCGGUAGCCGGCGACCGGCGCACGGGUGAGUAACGCGUAUCGAACCUGCCUCAUACUCGGGAAUAGCCUUGCGAAAGUAAGAUUAAUGCCCGGUGUUUUCAGAGUCCCGCAUGAGGCUUUGAACAAAGAUUUAUCGGUAUGAGAUGGCGAUGCGUCCCAUUAGCUUGUUGGCGGGGUAACGGUCCACCAAGGCAUCGAUGGGUAGGGGUUCUGAGAGGAAGGUCCCCCACAUUGGAACUGAGACACGGUCCAAACUCCUACGGGAGGCAGCAGUGAGGAAUAUUGGUCAAUGGGCGGAAGCCCGAACCAGCCAAGUAGCGUGCAGGAAGACGGCCCUCCGGGUUGUAAACUGCUUUUAGUUGGGAAUAAAACGGGGCUCGUGAGCCCCCUUGCAUGUACCAUCAGAAAAAGGACCGGCUAAUUCCGUG